rnacentral:sRNA from 1 species
AGUACCUUUAACUCAGUCCAGAGAGGCUGGCAAGGUAGCGUGAACAGCAGCCGCUGUCAGGAAGAAGAUCACAUCGGCAUCCGGCGCGAGCGGCCGGGACGAAGCGAGGUGCGCGGCCCUGCAUGGCCAUGCCCCUGGCUUGUCCUGCCGCGCGGCCGAUCAUGCCCUCUUCUCCCUGCGCGGCUUCUAAAACUCUCUCCUUGCUGAUGUACCCGGCAAGGAGAGUUUUUUUU